GUGGGGAAUUUUGGACAAUGGGCGCAAGCCUGAUCCAGCAAUGCCGCGUGCAGGAAGAAGGCCUUCGGGUUGUAAACUGCUUUUGUACGGAACGAAAAGACUCUGGUUAAUACCUGGGGUCCAUGACGGUACCGUAAGAAUAAGCACCGGCUAACUACGUGCCAGCAGCCGCGGUAAUACGUAGGGUGCAAGCGUUAAUCGGAAUUACUGGGCGUAAAGCGUGCGCAGGCGGUUAUAUAAGACAGAUGUGAAAUCCCCGGGCUCAACCUGGGAACUGCAUUUGUGACUGUAUAGCUAGAGUACGGUAGAGGGGGAUGGAAUUCCGCGUGUAGCAGUGAAAUGCGUAGAUAUGCGGAGGAACACCGAUGGCGAAGGCAAUCCCCUGGACCUGUACUGACGCUCAUGCACGAAAGCGUGGGGAGCAAACAGGAUUAGAAACCCUUGUAGUCC
rnacentral:rRNA from 1 species